rnacentral:lncRNA from 1 species
UGGUGUUGAUGCUAGUAGAUGUUCUUCAGUGUCUGGACAUUAAAAUCUUGGGCAUGCAGCACCAUAUGAGAGGUUUAAAAAAUAAAAUUAAAAAAGAGAAAAGAACCCAGAGUUGAUCUCUGCAGCAUGCCAUCACUGCUGGGGAUGAGGAAACGGUGAUUUCAGGACUGUUUUUUCUGUCUCUUCAGUGCCUCUUUCAGUGAUCUCAGGUUAAAACCAGGUACUUUGAGUACUCAUCUGAUCUUUGGUUCCUAUGAAUGUAUUUUCUAUGUGGAUAUUAAUAGUUGUUCAUCUGGUGUCCUUGCAGGAGGGACAAUCAGUGGAGCCUUCUUUCUGCCAUCUUGCUUUACUCUCACACCCAAGAAUCAGAAUUCAGAACUUUUAAUAAGAAAAGCUUUCAGAACUCAGGAAGGACAAGGAAGACAUUCUGGUUCUCCAUGCUUAACAUUGGACUCUUUCUUCAACUUAGACUAUGGAGGAUUCAUCACCAGACCAGGAAGCAACAGCCUGGGCUCCAGAGUUGGCCAGCAGUCCAUGCACAGACGAGGAGAGGUCCCAUGAACCUUCAGCGUGGUCUGGGAACCGAGCUC